CCAGACUCCUACGGGAGGCAGCAGUGGGGAAUAUUGCACAAUGGGGGAAACCCUGAUGCAGCGACGCCGCGUGAGUGAAGAAGUAUUUCGGUAUGUAAAGCUCUAUCAGCAGGGAAGAAAAUGACGGUACCUGACUAAGAAGCCCCGGCUAACUACGUGCCAGCAGCCGCGGUAAUACGUAGGGGGCAAGCGUUAUCCGGAUUUACUGGGUGUAAAGGGAGCGUAGACGGCGUGCCAAGUCUGAUGUGAAAGGCCGGGGCUCAACCCCAGGACUGCAUUGGAAACUGGCAUGCUGGAGUGCCGGAGGGGCAAGCGGAAUUCCUAGUGUAGCGGCGAAAUGCGUAGAUAUUAGGAGGAACACCGGUGGCGAAGGCGGCUUGCUGGGCGGUAACUGACGUUGAGGCUCGAAAGCGUGGGGAGCAAACAGGAUUAGAUACCCCCGUA
rnacentral:rRNA from 1 species